CGCACAUUGCGCCCCUCGGCAUUCCGGGGGGCAUGCCUGUUCGAGCGUCAUUACACCCCUCAAGCGUAGCUUGGUAUUGGACGCUCGCGGGCUCUUUUAUAAGGGCUCGCGACUCCGAAAAGCAGUGGCGGUCCCCGAGGAUUUCGCGCGUAGUAAAUGUUAUCCCGCGUUGGAAAGAAUCGGUGGGCUUGCCAAAACUCUUCAUAAUCUCCAUGAUUGACCUCGGAUCAGGUAGGGAUACCCGCUGAACUUAA
rnacentral:misc_RNA from 1 species